rnacentral:lncRNA from 1 species
GUCUGCUCAGACUAACAGGCUCACCGGUUGUUCCUGUCAAUCAGACACGCAGUGUCAACCAAUGAACCAAAGAUGCGCGAGGGAGGGUCGAGCCAACUCACUCACAGUCACACACUUAGCAGCCGAGGAGAGAGAGGAAGGACAGCUGUGAAAACAACAGCUGGAAAAUGAAUCGGAUGCACAGUAGCAUUUGGAUGCAUUUUAAUAAUGUAGACAACGUUAGAGCAUAGUGUAGAAUUUGCCAAAACAAAAUCUCAUAUAAAGCCGGUUCUAUGCACAACCUACACCGGCUUAUGAGAACUGUGCACCCAACUGUGAAGCUAGCUGUAGCGGAGCUUCGAGGAACUAGCGGGCCUGCUAGUGAUAGUGGUGGAGCCAGCACCUCCACAUGUGGAGAUGUAUCCACACAGUUAAGUAGGCCUACUCCACGACCCACAGCAACGCAGUCUUCUAUGGACCAGUUUAUGCCAAAGUCUAUGUCUGUAGCAAAACAAGGCCAAAUUGAUAUUGCAUUGGCUAAAAUGAUUGCCACCGAUUUCCAGCCAUUUUUGAUCUUGGAGGACAGAGGUUUUAGAAAUUAUAGCAAUAGUCUAAAUCCAAUGUACACAAUUCCAAGCAGGAAAAACCUUUCAAAAUCACUUAUUCCACAACUGUACGAGAGCACACAGGCUUCAGUGUGAGAAAGAGUCCAAAAAGCUACUGCAGUUUGCCUUACCACUGACUGCAGGACAUCAAGGGUAACCACUUCUUAAAUGUCGAUUACAUGUCACCUCAUUGAAGAUUUUUCGAUGACUAGCUGUCUUCUGGACUGCUUUGAGUUCAGCGACAGACACACCUCAGAGAACUUGGCAGAGGAACUGUUGAGACUGGCAAGUAGAUGGAAAAGUGGUCUGUUGUGUUAGCUACAAUGCAGCUAACAUAACCAAAGCCAUGAAAAUGUUAAAAUGGACCCAUCAUCCAUGUCUUGCCCACACAAUUAACCUGAUUGUAAGAGAUGCUUUGAAGGUGAUGAAGCCCACUGUGGACAAAGUGAAAGCAGCUGUGGAAUACUUCCACAGGAGCACAGUAGAUGCUGAAAAACUAAAGUCUACACAAUGCCAGAUGGGGAUGCCUGAGCUGAGGCCUAAACAAGACUGCACUACAAGGUGGAAUUCAACAUUAUAUAUGUUGAAGCGGUUUCUUGCGUCAAAUGAUGCCAUCAUCUCUACCCUGGCCAUUGUCAAUGCACCUGUUGAUGCUCUGACCCAAGAGGAAUGGGAGAUGGUGGAGGAGGUGUGCAGAGUCCUGGAACCCUUUGAGCAGGUCACUGUGGAGAUCAGUGGAGAGAAGUACACUAUGUGACAGCCUCAAAAAUGAUGCUCCUGUGGAAGGGUCUGCAGCAAAUCACAGCCAGCCGCCAGAGAGAAGCAAAUGUAACCACAGGACAUGUGGCAGAGUGGAUGGACACCCUAUGUUCAUCAAUGGACAGAAAGUUCCACAGAAUGGAAUAUAAUCACUUGCUAUCAGAAACCGCUGCACUUGACCCAAGGUUUAAGAAGUUAGCCUUCAGUGAUGCCAGAGCGAUUGAUGAGGCUCUAUAAAGAAUAACCUCAGCAGCAGGGAGGGACAGCCCCAGCAGUCAGCUGGCUCAGGCACCAGGGCAACGGGAAGAAGAGAGAUCAGAUGGAGCGGAAGCACCAGCAGUAGUGCCACAAACGUCUGCUGUUUGGAUGCUGUUUGACGAGAGAGCAACUGGGGACGCAGCACGAAGGAAUCCCUCAGCAGAUGCCAUAAUGGAGGUCCGAUCCUAUUUGGAGGAGCCCUACUCCAAAGAUAUGCAGAUCCUCUGAGCUGGUGGAAGAACAAGGCUUACUAAAGUCAUGACAGGGAGACUCUGCAUAGUGGCCACAUCCGUUCCCUCUGAGAGGGUCUUCUCGAAAACAGGACAAAUAAUUACUGAGAGAAGAAACCACAUCAGCCACUCGAAAGUGAGGCAGCUUGCAUUUCUGAAUGCAAAUCUUUCAUAAAAGAAAAAUAUGGUCAGCAUUGCUGUGUGCUGCUGGUUAUAACAUGGCAAUAAAGAGAGAGAGAAAAGUGGGACUAGUUUAAUGUUCUAAGUGGGAUGCUGCAGUUUUACACAUUGUGAUUUAUUUUUCUUUG